rnacentral:rRNA from 1 species
UACGGAGGGAGCUAGCGUUGUUCGGAAUUACUGGGCGUAAAGCGCACGUAGGCGGCUCAGCAAGUCAGGGGUGAAAUCCCGGGGCUCAACCCCGGAACUGCCCUUGAAACUGCUAAGCUAGAAUCUUGGAGAGGCGAGUGGAAUUCCGAGUGUAGAGGUGAAAUUCGUAGAUAUUCGGAAGAACACCAGUGGCGAAGGCGACUUACUGGACACAUAUUGACGCUGAGGUGCGAAAGCGUGGGGAGCAAACAGG